UUUAUCGAUUUUUUUUGAAGCAAAGUAUUUCUUUCUGAUUCUAUAAAUUGUCGACUUGGGGGACAAUUGUGAAACUGUAAGGCAAGAUGAACUUUGCAAAUAUGGAAUUAAAUUCAAAGUAAUUGCGUUCAAAUUAAAAAAAAAGUACUAUAUUAAUGAACAGUUUGAUCAGCCAUUGUAAACAAUUCAAUUACAACCGUUAGCGAUACUCU